rnacentral:tRNA from 1 species
GGACAGGUGGCCGAGUGGUUUAAGGCGCACGCCUGGAACGCGUGUGUGGUCUAACCGCCACCGUGAGUUCGAAUCUCACCCUGUCCGCCA